AGAACGAACGCUGGCGGCAUGCCUAACACAUGCAAGUCGAACGUGAUCCGGGGCUUGCUCCGGUGAAAGUGGCGGACGGGUGAGUAACGCGUGGGAACCUGCCCAGUGGUCGGGGAUAACUGCGGGAAACUGCAGCUAAUACCCGGUAAGCCCUACGGGGGAAAGAUUUAUCGCCAUUGGAGGGGCCCGCGUCGGAUUAGGUAGUUGGUGGGGUAAAGGCCUACCAAGCCUUCGAUCCGUAGCUGGUCUGAGAGGAUGAUCAGCCACACUGGGACUGAGAUACGGCCCAGACUCCUACGGGAGGCAGCAGUGGGGAAUAUUGGACAAUGGGCGCAAGCCUGAUCCAGCAAUGCCGCGUGAGUGAAGAAGGCCUUAGGGUUGUAAAGCUCUUUCGGCGGGGACGAUGAUGACGGUACCCGCAGAAGAAGCACCGGCUAACUACGCGCCAGCAGCCGC
rnacentral:rRNA from 1 species